rnacentral:rRNA from 1 species
GACGAACGCUGGCGGCGUGCUUAACACAUGCAAGUCGAGCGGUAAGGCCCCUUCGGGGGUACACGAGCGGCGAACGGGUGAGUAACACGUGGGUGACCUGCCCUCAGCUCUGGGAUAAGCCUGGGAAACUGGGUCUAAUACCGGAUAUGACUCCAUGACGCAUGUCGUGGGGUGGAAAGCCUUGUGCGGCUGGGGAUGGGCCCGCGGCCUAUCAGCUUGUUGGUGGGGUGANGGCCUACCAAGGCGACGACGGGUAGCCGGCCUGAGAGGGCGACCGGCCACACUGGGACUGAGACACGGCCCAGACUCCUACGGGAGGCAGCAGUGGGGAAUCUUGCGCAAUGGGCGAAAGCCUGACGCAGCGACGCCGCGUGAGGGAUGAC